CAUUAUCGAAUUACAAGGCUUUGGCUGUGCUGGCCCUCCGGGGCAUGUGCACGUCUCCGCCCUUUAAUCCAAACCAACCCCUGUGAACCAACCGUGGGGCGCGUCUGUGAUGGACGCCGUCCCAUGCUUUAUCAUAAACACUUGUAUGUCUCAGAAUGUAAAAUCGAUAUCGUCGCCCUAAAAAGCGCUCGGUAAAAAAAAUUAAUACAACUUUCAACAACGGAUCUCUUGGCUCUCGCAUCGAUGAAGAACGCAGCGAAAUGCGAUAAGUAAUGUGAAUUGCAGAUUUUCAGUGAAUCAUCGAAUCUUUGAACGCACCUUGCGCUCCUUGGUAUUCCGAGGAGCAUGCCUGUUUGAGUGUCAUUAAAUUCUCAACCCCGAUCGGAUUUGCUUUUGAUUCGGUGGCUUGGACGGUGGAGCGUGCUGGCCCUUUGGGUCGGCUCCUCUCAAAUGCAUUCGCGGAAUUGACUUUGGUCCGUUUCGGUCAUCAGUGUGAUAAUCGUGUUACGCUGUCGGCCAGGAUCGAGGUGCCGCAUAUAAUGGUCUUCGGACAACCUCAUAUCAAUUUGACCUCAAAUCAGGUAGGACUACCCGCUGAACUUAA
rnacentral:rRNA from 1 species